AUAAUUGAACACUAAUCAACUGAUACAGGUUGCAUGUUUUGUGCCUCUUUCCUGAGAUCUUCAUACAGAACAGAUGACAAGUACCUCUCUCCAAAACUUGGAUGAAUUGUCACUAUGAGUUUUCCUUUAUUUUCUGGUCUGUUGGCGAGUCUAAGUGCGGCUACAGUAUUUGCUCCUGAUGAUAUACCAACCAUAAGGCCUUCCUUCAAUGCCAACUCCCUAGCCAUGUUUACCGAUUCUUCACUUGAAACCAUCAGAACUUCUUCCAUUACAUCCAUGUCAAGGAUAUCCGGCUUGAAUCCAACCCCAUUGCCAGUUAUUUCAUGAGGACCUGGUUUUCCACCAUUCAAUACAUUGCUUUCAGCUGGCUCGAUUCCAUAUAUCUUGACAUUAGGAUUUUUCGAUUUCAGAUAUUGUCCAACACCAGAGACUGUGCCUCCACUUCCUAUUCCCAUGACAAAGAUGUCAACAUUACCUUGAGUAUCUUCCCAGAUUUCAGGGCCAGUAGUCUCAAAAUGAACUUGAGUAUUGGCAGGAUUGGAGAAUUGUUGAAGCAUAUAAGCAUUAGGUGUAGAUUCCAAAAGAUCGUAAGCUUUCUUAAUAGUUCCUCCCAUUCCUUUAGUUGGAUCAGUGAUCACUAAAUCAGCUCCAAAUGCUCUCAUGGUUACCCUCCUCUCCAAGCUUGUAUACGAUGGCAUUGUCAAAAUCAUUUUGUAGCCUUUCAUGGCAGCCAUAAAUGCCAUACUUAUUCCCAUAUUCCCUGAUGUUGGCUCGAUUAGUGUUGUUUUUCCAGGGGUGAUUAAUCCUUUCUUUUCUGCAUCAUUGAUCAUAGCAAAUGCUGGUCUAUCUUUGAUACUAGAAGUAGGUUGCAUCAUUUCUUGUUUAACAGCAAUAUAAGCACCACAUCCUUCACUCACUUUGUUUAGAUACACCAAUGGUGUUUUCCCAAUGAGUUGAGAAACUUGAGUUUUGAUUUUGGUACCAGGAAGGUACUUUGGCAGAUCUCUUAGCCUCUGAACAAAUGAUGCUUCACUCGAAUAAAAUCUUCUCCUCACCAACGACGCCAUUGAUGAAAUUUAUUUGAAGCCUGUAAAUGUCUAUCUCUCUUCAAAUUUCAAAAGAUAAAAUACCCCUUUUAUAAUGGAAAAUUACGGUAUAUACAGAUGAAUUUUUCCUAUACCUAAAAAUAGAAUUUUGUUAGUAUAAUAACUAUUUAUUUUUGGCCGAG
rnacentral:misc_RNA from 1 species